CUAACCAUUGGAGUUGCUCUAAGGUUUUGCAACGGAGAAUCUGCACAGAUCUGCAAAUCGGUGGUUUUGAGAAUGUAUUCAGUCAUUUCUUAGGGGCGACAACUAAGGAUUCUCAAGAUCGUAUUAGGAGUUUUUGGACAAGGAAAAAAGAUCUCCAAGACGAAGUUGUGAAGAAUAAUCUAUGGAGUUGAGGUUUCUAAUGGUGGGAUAAGAAAAGAUUGGAAAUUUAAUAUAGGAUCUUUGUCAUGCCUUUAUUAUCCUUAAAGGUUUGAGGUCGGAGUCAAUAGCGUAUAGGGAGUCUGAAUGUGGUUGGAAGACUAGGAGGAUUCAAAGCAGUAGAUUGGAGAAGGAUUAAUGGUUUCUGAGUAUACAGUUUAGUUGCUCAAUGAUGGUGAUGGGUAUAAUAAAAGAGUGGAGUGUACUACGGUUGACCUUGGUAGCCUCACAAUGUACGACUGUUUUCAUACAACUGAUACUGCUGUAUCCAAGUAAUAAACAAGGUGCUCUAUAGUUAUAUGAAAGAGUGUAGUAACAGAUGUCUUAGUUGGAUGAAAUCACGUGAUUGGUUUGAACUGUCAUGG